rnacentral:piRNA from 1 species
UGGUGACAUUGUGGGCUCACGGCACCCAUU